CCCUAAGGACAGAGAACAUAAAAAAGUGAAAGAGAAGCAGAAGUGAAUCGUGUCUGGGGAUGAUGGAGAAGGGGCGGGUGCCUAAGCUCCAUCGAAUGGCUGCCUCGUUGAAAUACAGUGUUAUAGCGCUUCCAAAUUUUUUUAGAGAGAUGCCAAACAUUUUAUGUGACUUUUCCAAAUUUCACAUGAUGGCAACUCAUUCAUUUUGUUUUUUUAAAUACUUUCCAGGCCAAAUGUAACACAUCCAAGAGAUGGAUUGGGGCCACCGGCCACCAGUUGUGGUCUCCAUGGAAUUCAUUCUACUCAUCCUCAUUGAGCAUUUGCUAAGACUCAGGGCCCUCUCCUUGGUUCUGAGGACACAGCACUAAAGAAGGACAUGUCCACUUACUUAAGAGACAGACUUAAAUGAUCACCAUUAUAUAAAUAGAUGCAAUUACAAACUGGUGAGAGCUCUGAAUGGAAUGAAUGGGGCAUUGAACUAUGGGAGACAAAAGUAGGGAACUGGAUUCGACUAGAUUUGUGGUUAAGGAAAACCUCUAAUGUGGUGACCCAAGGGUCAACAUGAAGGAUGAGAGGAGUAGGGGGAAAGAGAAGCCAGCACGUGCAAAGGCCCUAAGGUGCUGGAGAAUGUGGUUCUUUUGCUAUUAGAAGAAAUGAAAGGUGAGUCAUAGGGAGAGGAAACUAGGCCAGACCAUAUAGGGCCCAGUACGCCUUGAUGAGGAAUGUUUCCUCUCAACAAGAUAAAUGUAGAUGAUGGGUUCCAUCAGAGAGAUGGUUAGGAAGCAGAUGGAAGGAGACUGGGGACUCGUUAGCCCUCCCGGUAGACAGGGUGGGAGGAGGUGAGAAUCAGGGAGGAUGUGGUAUAUACCAGAGACAGGGAUGGGGAGGGGCUGGGCAAGAAGCCGAGACACCAUCACAGUACUGGCCUGCUCGGCCAGCCAUAGGGGAAGGGCCUUUACUCCAAGGCCCCCCUCCACCCUCCAGGGUCCUUUGAGGUUGCCUUCCCUGAUGCUGCGCAGAAAAUACAGGAGGUCAUUACACAGCUUAAAGAAGGUAAAACAGAUUCCGUCUCCUUCCCCCAGGCACGCACAGAGACUCCAGCGGCUCUCUCUAGUCCAAUAUCCUGGCCGUCUCUCUUCCGUCUCUUCCAUCUCUUCUAUCCUGGCCCAACCUGCUUCCCUUGGUGGGCCACUCUGGACACGGCCUCUUUCCCAGCAUCGACCACUCUGGGUCUGGUCCUGCCCCUUCGGCCAAAGGUUUUCUCUACUAGGACCCCUUCUUGGGAUGGUCCUGUCCCAGAUGAGCCCGGACCUCUUCCUGGAUCUCUGGGUCUGGCCCUGCCCACACUGUGAAGGAUUUCCUAUCCAACUGGGCCUCCUUAGUGGGCUACUUCCAGCCUGGCCACACCUCUUUUCUAACUGGGUCCCCUAAUUCGACCCUGUUCUCUCCGAGCAUCGCCCAGGAUGUAGCCCCCUUCCCUCAAGUGGAAUACACCAGAGCUGGCCCAGCCUCCUUGGCGCAUGCAGCAGGCCUGUACCUGACCUCUCAGUGGGAUGCUGCAGGCCUGGUCCGGUCCUCAGGUGGAACACCGCAGCCCUGACCCCGCCCCCUGGGUGGACCGCUGCAGGCCUUGCUCUGCCCCCUCGGAGGAAUGCAUCCGGCCCAGUAACACCCUGUAGGGAAGCUUCAGCACCUCCCGCGACUUGCAGGGUAGUAAUGCUUCCUCUCUCUCCACAGCCCCGGCCUGCAUCCCUCCCUGCGGUAAGCAAUUCAUUCAAAGCUCAGAAUUGGGGGAGGAAGGAGGUGGUCGGCAAUGAAACGUAGAACUUCGAGUGGGAGAGCAUGGGUGGGCCUCCGAUCCGUAGGAGGCCACUAAAAGCCCUGGAGGAACGUCAGUCAACCAGGACUCCAGGAGGUCGCUCGGCGCUUCCGCUGCCGCGGCUGCUACUCCACAGUCUGCGACCUCCCGCUGGACUGCCCAGUUCAGGAUGUGACGGUGACCCGGGGUCAGCAGGCCAUGUUCUCUUGCACCGUGAACUUCCAGCUGCCUAAAGAGGAGAUCACCUAUUCCUGGAGGUUCGCAGGAGGAGGUGUGAGUCGGGGCGGGGCCGGCGCAGA